GGUGCCUGCCGCCCCGCUCCCGUGAGGCCGCGUCCUCUCCCGGGUCCCGGUAUUCUGGGGAGCCCGGCCCUCUCCUGAGACCCCCCUGCCUCCCAGCCCCUCUGUCCCGCGUCCUCAGGGCGGUCCUUCUGCUCCUCGGGCCUCCUCUUCGUAGUCAGCCCUUCCCCCACCCCGCGUUGGGGGAGGUGACCGGGGUCAGCCGUGUGACCCCCUCAGUAUUAUUACGUCCCAAAUUCCACCCCGCUGGAAAACGGUCUUUUCCAGUAGGCGGGCAUCUUACUCAGUCGGCAUCCCUGUAAAUACGUGGGCGAGGAGGAUCAGGAGAAGCAGACUCUGAGCGACUGAGAAACAGAAAAACUGAGGAUUGACUUCUAAAGACUCAUGUUCCCUGAGGAAGAAGCCCAAGAGAGGAGGAAGAGGACAGAAAAGGACUCGAGAAUGGCCCCUUCUCAGGGACAGUUGACCUUCCAGGACGUGGCCAUCGAGUUCUCCCAGGAGGAGUGGGAGUGCCUGGACGCUGCUCAGAGGGCCUUGUACAGGGACGUGAUGUUGGAGACCUGCAGGAACCUGCUGUCCCUGG